rnacentral:lncRNA from 1 species
GCGGGGCUUUGGGAAGGUGAUUACGAGGCUGACAGCUAACUUGUUGGGAGUUAGGGUCUGGUCUGAAGAGGUAGGUCACUGUGGUAGGUCACUGCGGGCUUGACUUGGGAGCCUUCGUCUUUCUCUUCAGCUCCUCCCUCCACUCUACUUCUUGAACAAGACCGGCGCAGCUGUUCCUGUUGUCCUCUCCCCUGCCAUGCUGUCCUGCCACGGAGCCACCCGACUAUGCAUGGAAACCUCUACAAGCUGUGAACCAAAAUCUCUCCUCCUUUGUGUGGUGGGUGUUGGGAACUGUGUCUUAGUGAUGAGGAAACUGACUAUGACCACAAUUCUUUGGCUAUUUCCACGAAAAAGCAUCGACAUAUAAGGGAUCAGACAUCAAACAUGUUGCUACAUCCUGCAGCCACGUUUCAGGGGAGAGCACAACCGCGGUCUGCAGUCUGUAGUGGCUCAGCUAGGGCUGCCGGCGCCGCUCCCGCUGUCCCCGGAGAGCCGGGGAGUCCGGC